rnacentral:RNase_P_RNA from 1 species
CCGGGUAAUUGCGUGCCUUUUGGUAUGAGGAAAGUCCGAGCUCCGCAGGGCAGGAUAACGGCUAACGGCCGCCGAGGGUGACCUUAGGGAUAGUGCAACAGAAAAUUACCGCCGGUUUAAUUACCGGUAAGGGUGGAAAGGUGAGGUAAGAGCUCACCGGCGUGGUGGAGACAUCACGGCCGUGUAAACCCUAUCCGGAGCAAUGUCGACUGAAGUGUAUUGCUUGCCCGGCAAAGUCUUCGAAGGACAGCUUGAGGUACAGGGCAACCUGUAUUCGAGAUAGAUAAUUACCUGAAAAACAGAACUCGGCUUACAGGUGCAGU